AUUGAACGCUGGCGGCAGGCCUAACACAUGCAAGUCGAGCGGAUGAAGGGAGCUUGCUCCUGUAUUCAGCGGCGGACGGGUGAGUAAUGCCUAGGAAUCUGCCUGGUAGUGGGGGAUAACGUCCGGAAACGGGCGCUAAUACCUCAUACGUCCUGAGGGAGAAAGUGGGGGAUCUUCGGACCUCACGCUAUCAGAUGAGCCUAGGUCGGAUUAGCUAGUUGGUGGGGUAAAGGCCUACCAAGGCGACGAUCCGUAACUGGUCUGAGAGGAUGAUCAGUCACACUGGAACUGAGACACGGUCCAGACUCCUACGGGAGGCAGCAGUGGGGAAUAUUGGACAAUGGGCGAAAGCCUGAUCCAGCCAUGCCGCGUGUGUGAAGAAGGUCUUCGGAUUGUAAAGCACUUUAAGUUGGGAGGAAGGGCAGUAAGUUAAUACCUUGCUGUUUUGACGGUACCAACAGAAUAAGCACCGGCUAACUUCGUG
rnacentral:rRNA from 1 species